GACCCACUAGCUCAGUCGGUAGAGCAUCUGACUUUUAAUCAGGGGGUCUGGAGUUCGAAUCUCCAGUGGGUCACCA
rnacentral:tRNA from 1 species